GUGUAUGGCCAUACCACCCAGAACGCACCUGAUCUCAUCUGAUCUCAGGAGCUAAAGCAGAGUUGGGCCUGGCUAGUACUUGGAUGGGAAUAGCAUAUCUUAUUAACC
rnacentral:rRNA from 1 species